AUAAAUGUUUUGAUAAGAACUAGUAAGAUAAUACAGGUGGACAGAAAGUAGCCGGUUGUUGAGAGGCGCACGAACCUAAUGUAUCUGAAUUCCUCUUUGAACUUCACACCGAAUCAAGUAGGCUGUGACGGUUACGCGCACCCGUUAUUGUGCCAGGGUAUAAUUUUGUACCUGACAAGACAAUGAGUGUGAGCUGAUUGUAAACAAAGGUGGUAACACGGAUCAAUUCGGUCUCGUCCUUUUC
rnacentral:ncRNA from 1 species